rnacentral:rRNA from 1 species
AGGACGAACGCUGGCGGCGUGCCUAACACAUGCAAGUGGAGCGACGAACCAGGCUUCGGCCUGGGGCAAAGCCGCGAACGGGUGAGUAACACGUGGGUAACCUGCCCCGAUGAUUGGAACAACCCGAGGAAACUCGGGCUAAUACCGAAUGUGCCCUCCGACCAUAAGGUCGCUGGGGAAAGGAAGCUUCGGCCUUCGCAUCGGGAUGGGCCCGCGGCCCAUUAGCUUGUUGGUGAGGUAACGGCUCACCAAGGCAACGAUGGGUAGCUGGUCUGAGAGGACGACCAGCCACACUGGGACUGAGACACGGCCCAGACACCUACGGUGGCAGCAGUCGAGAAUUUUUCUCAAUGGGGGAAACCCUGAAGGAGCGACGCCGCGUGGAGGAUGAAGGUCUUCGGGUUGUAAACUCCUGUCAUUUGGGAACAAGGCGUAGGUAUUAACUGUAUCUACGUUGAUAGUACCAGAAGAGGAAGAGACGGCUAACUCUGUGCCAGCAGCCGCGGUAA